UCCAGACUCCUACGGGAGGCAGCAGUGAGGAAUAUUGGUCAAUGGGCGGGAGCCUGAACCAGCCAAGUCGCGUGAGGGAAGACGGUCCUAUGGAUUGUAAACCUCUUUAGGCGGGGAGCAAUGCCGGGCACGCGUGCCCGGAGGGAGAGUACCCGCAGAAUAAGCAUCGGCUAACUCCGUGCCAGCAGCCGCGGUAAUACGGAGGAUGCGAGCGUUAUCCGGAUUUAUUGGGUUUAAAGGGUGCGUAGGCGGGAUGCCAAGUCAGCGGUAAAAAUGCGGUGCUCAACGCCGUCGAGCCGUUGAAACUGGCGUUCUUGAGUGGGCGAGAAGUAUGCGGAAUGCGUGGUGUAGCGGUGAAAUGCAUAGAUAUCACGCAGAACUCCGAUUGCGAAGGCAGCAUACCGGCGCCCUACUGACGCUGAGGCACGAAAGCGUGGGUAUCGAACAGGAUUAGAUACCCGAGUAC
rnacentral:rRNA from 1 species